rnacentral:rRNA from 1 species
GAUGAACGCUGGCGGCGUGCCUAAUACAUGCAAGUCGAGCGAACAGACGAGGAGCUUGCUUCUCUGAUGUUAGCGGCGGACGGGUGAGUAACACGUGGAUAACCUACCUAUAAGACUGGGAUAACUUCGGGAAACCGGAGCUAAUACCGGAUAAUAUUUUGAACCGCAUGGUUCAAAAGUGAAAGACGGUCUUGCUGUCACUUAUAGAUGGAUCCGCGCUGCAUUAGCUAGUUGGUAAGGUAACGGCUUACCAAGGCAACGAUGCAUAGCCGACCUGAGAGGGUGAUCGGCCACACUGGAACUGAGACACGGUCCAGACUCCUACGGGAGGCAGCAGUAGGGAAUCUUCCGCAAUGGGCGAAAGCCUGACGGAGCAACGCCGCGUGAGUGAUGAAGGUCUUCGGAUCGUAAAACUCUGUUAUUAGGGAAGAACAUAUGUGUAAGUAACUGUGCACAUCUUGACGGUACCUAAUCAGAAAGCCACGGCUAACUACGUG